rnacentral:pre_miRNA from 14 species
AUCUUGGAGUGAAAGACCCCCGGAGUGGGGAGACCCUCACUCAAGUCUCGGGAUGACGCGACCCCCCAAGAACUCACACAAGACC